GAAGAGAAAGAAGAGGGGGAGGAGGGGAGGAGGAGGAGAAGGAGGAGGAGGAGAGGAAGACAGACCACAGUAGGACUUAUUCUCGUGAAACAUAGAACCACUAGUCCAUGUGUCUCCACUGAGAAAGUUACAAAGUCUGGCAGCGUCUGAGCACAGCCCAGGCUAAACUCCCUGGUGCUGUGUAAUCUUCUUAGCUCUACCUUCAAAACACUCCCGGUCCAGCCGUGAGUCCAGCCUCUAUUUAACACGCUGCUUCCUAUUGUUUGUUUGAGCCAUUGGAUACGGCUUCUUGGCAGUGGGCAUGGCCUGGGUUUGUUCUCCAGCACACCACGCAAAACAAAUAAAUAAUUCAGGAAAGCUCUGCAGAGCUUCCCACUUCCAUCCCUGCCCCUCUGGUGAUGUUUCUAAAGUGGUCAAGAAUGGAGCCAGGCACGGGGCACAGACCUUUAAUACUAGGACUUGGGAGGCAGAGGCAGGUUGAUCUCUGUGACUUUAAGGCCAGCCAGGCCUACAUGUCAAGUUCCAGACCAACCUAAAUAGUGAGACUUGACCUAAAAGGAAAUAUUUGAUUUCUGUUUCUGGAAUUACUAGAAGGGGGAGAAAAAGCCUGAAAACGUUUCCAUAAUAAAAGUGAAUUAGAAAAUUAAAAGAGAUUCUAAGCCAGGCAGGGUCAUUCACAACUGUAAUCUCAGCACUCAGGAGACUGAGGCAGGAGGAUUCCCACAUGUUUCAAGCCAGCUUGAGUUACAUAGUAAAUUCCAGUUAGUCUGGACUCAGAGUGAGACCAUGUUUCAAAAACCAAAAAUAACAAAGCUUCUAAAACUAUGAGAUAAAAUAUAACAGCAUAUCUCUUAAAAGACAUAGCUGAGGGGUUUUUUAAAAGAUUGAUUGAUUGGUUGGCUGGUUGGUUGGUUGGCUGGGUGAUUGAUUUAAUGAAUCCAAGUGCUGUUUUCAUGUGCACCAGAAAAGGGAAUCAGAUUCCAUUUCAGAUAGUUAUAAGCCACCAUGUGGUUGCUGGGAAUUGACCUUCGGACCACUAGAUCAGCAGCCAGUGCCCUCAACCACUGAACCAUCUCUCCAGCCCGAUAGCUGAGUUUUUAAGGAACAAAGGAAAAGAUCCAAAGCCAGGCAGUCAAGACACUUGAAUUCAAGCCCUGGUUUCCAUUCACUGGCUAAGUGACCCCAUCAAUUUCUCAAAGACAGAAGUACAAAUCAUUCAUCUUUAUAUGUGGUCCCCAGCAUAGGGCCCAGCACCAAGGAAGUGAUCAAUAAUGGACACCAAAUUGAUUAAUCAGUCAGCCAAGUGAUGAAUGAAUAACUUGUCUUGAGGAAGGACGGGAGUUUAGUCCUUUAAUAUCUCCAAAGGCCAAUGUGUUGAAAACCAUGUUUGUGCCUAGUGCCCGAGGAGGCCAGAAGAGCAUGCCAGGUCCCUUGGUGCUGAGAAUUAACCUGGAUCCUUUUGCAAGACCAGCAAGUACUCCUAACUGCUUACUCCUUCUUCAGCCCCGACCCCCGUUUCUUUAGACAGGAUCUCUCACUGGCACAGACUUUGCCAAGCAGGCUCCAGCACGGGGUUUACAAGCGUGUGCCACCAUGCCUAACUUUCAUAAAACAUAGGUUCUGGGCAUGGAACUCUGGUCUUCAUUAUUGCAAAGAGAACAUUUAUCAACCACGCUAUGUCCCCAACCCUCGUUAUGGCUUUGUUUUCCAUUUCCCUGAACCCUCAGUGAGACUCUGUUUAUUGGUUGUUCAAAUUUGGCCAAAGUUCCUGCAUUCUCCCUUCCUGUUGAAAGAGAUCUUUAAAUGUCCUGCAUGCCAUUCUGCUGGCAUUUGUGUGUCACAAAUGUCACCUCUCUAUCUUUGCUUCUUCUCCCAUUUUCUUUGUUAUUUUUUUUAUAUCAGAAUUUCUUGGUAUUCAUGUCAUAGAUUUAUCAACUCUUUUGGUUUAUAACGUUGUUAAAUAUUUAUUCCGUGUGUGUGUGUGUGUGUGUGUGUGUGUGUGUGUGUGUGUGUGUGUAGAAUAAUGAAAAGCUCAUAUUUAGGCUCUCUUUUUACCUCAGAAUUAUUCAUUGUUUUAAAAGAGAAAGUGUAGUAUAGCGUACUGUACUGUAGUAUGGUAUAGUGUACUGUAGUGUACUGUAGUCUAGUAUAGUGUACUGCACUGUAGUAUAUACUGUAGUGUGCUGUACUAUACUGUAUGGUAGUGUAGUGUACUGUACUAUAGCAUAGUAUAGUGUACUGUAGUAUACUAUAGUGUAGUAUGGUGAUCUAUAGUGUAGUAUAGUACACUGUAGUAUAGUGGACUAUAGUAUAGUGCAGUAUACUAUAUUGUAGUGUACUAUAGUAUAGUAUACUGUAGUUUACUGUAAUGUACUGUAGAAUAGUGGACUCUACUGCACUGUAGUGUACUAUACUGUAGUGUACUAUACUGUAGUGUACUAUAUGGUACUGUAUAUACUAUAGUGUAGUGUGCUGUAGUGUACUAUACUGUAGUGUACUGUACGGUACUGUAUGUACUAUAGUGUAGUGUGCUGUAGUGUACUAUUCUGUAGUGUGCUGUACGGUACUGUAUGUACUAUAGUGUAGUGUGCUGUAGUGGACUAUACUGUAGUGUACUGUAUGUACUAUACUGUAGUGUGCUGUAUGUACUAUACUGUAGUGUGCUGUAUGUACUAUAGUGUAGUGUGCUGUAGUGGACUAUACUGUAGUGUACUGUAUGUACUAUAGUGUAGUGUGCUGUAUGGUACUGUAUGUACUAUAGUGUAGUGUACUGUAUGUACUAUAGUGUAGUGUGCUGUAUGGUACUGUAUGUACUAUAGUGUAGUGGACUGUAUGUACUAUAGUGUAGUGUGCUGUAUGGUACUGUAUGUACUAUAGUGUAGUGGACUGUAUGUACUAUAGUGUAGUGUGCUGUAGUGGACUAUACUGUAGUGUGCUGUAUGUACUAUACUGUAGUGUGCUGUAGUGUGCUGUAUGUACUAUAGUGUAGUGUGCUGUAGUGUACUGUACGGUACUGUAUGUACUAUAGUGUAGUGUGCUGUAGUAGACUGGACUGGACUGGACAGAGUAUGAGUGCCCACGGAAGCCAGAGGAGAGCACUGGCCUCCCUGGAGCUAGAGUUACAGGUGUUUGUGAGCCAUUUGACGAGGAUGCUGGAGACCACACUCUAGUCCUUGGCAUAAGCUCAUGAUCAUCUUUAGUCCCUAUUUAGUUCACCUUUAGUGACUUUCAAUAACAUUUUACCUUAUUUUUUUAAACAAAUUCUCACACAAUAGUCCAAUCUGUCCUGGAAUUCACCAUGAAAUCAAAGUUAUCCUUGAACUCACAGCCUGGAAUUAUGCUCCUGCCUCAGUUUCCUUCCUGAGUCGCAGGUGCGACUCACCAUGCCUGGCUAAUUUCAUCAUUCGUGCUGUGAAUGCCAUGCAAGGCAUCUGUUUGGUUUACUCUCUGGUGUUUGGUGUUUGUCGGUGCCAGUAUUUAGUGCCUUAGAGAACUUGUUAUUUUCCAACAUGAUUACUAGGCAAUACAGCCUUGAUAAACGCUAGAUUCUUGAGGGUUCUCCCUAGCCAUGUCUUCUCAGGAUAAUAAAUUAUUUGCCUUCCAGUCAUGGCUCUUUCCCCGCCCCUCAGAGCACUGGUUGGUCCCUCAGUGCCUGAGACUAAAAGUGGGGAAGGCAGGUGUGCUUCCUUUGUUCCUGACUUAAGAAGGGAUGUCUGGUUGUCACCAUGCUGUUCUGCUGCGUGCUUUUCUUAAAUGACCAGUUUAGACUAGUUAGGGGCCAAGCAAAAAUAACGGGUGUGUUCAGCCACUCGACAGAUAGGGCUGAGGUGACACACAAGCACAAAUUCAUCUAUAAGGCAGCUAGAAAGGGAACGAGAUGGAAGACAGUAAGUCAUCCAAUGUAUAUCCAGUGAGCAUGCUAGGAACUGUGCAAGGACACAGAGGCAGUGUUCAUAAUUAUCACUGCAUUUAGAAAAGUCCUAAAAUAACAUUGACCUAAGAAGAAAGUGUGAGAUUCCCUUAAAGAUACUGAAUCAAGCCAGACAGAGUGUUCAUAUCUGCAAUUCCAGCCCUCAGGGAGGCAAGGCAUGACUUCAAGGCUAGCCUUGGCUACAAAUUAAGUUCCAAGACAGCCUGGACUGAAGAGUGAGAUCUUGAGUCCCAUCAGGACUAAGCACACCCUCUCCCACUGAGGCCAGACAAGGCAUCCCAGCUAGGGGAAAGGGAUCCAAAGGGGGCAACAGGGUUUAAUCAAAGACAGCCCCAGUUGCUCCAAUUAUUAGGGGAUCCAUGUGAAGACCAAGGUGUACAUCUGCUACAUAUGUUAGGGAACCUAGGUCCAGUCAUGCAGACAGAGCAGAUUGGUACCCAGGGUGGAGGAGGGGAGGGAGGGUGAAACUGGGAGGAGAGGACAGAGGGGGCUGCAAUUGGAAUGUAAGGUAAAUAAAUAAAUCAACUAAUGAAAAAUAAAACAAAGAACCUUCAAAAGAAACAAGAGUGAGAACUUAUUUAAAAGAAGAAAGAAAGAAAGAAAGAAAGGAAGGAAGGAAGGAAGGAAGGAAGGAAGACCAAAGAAACAAGUGAGAAAAGGAAGAAAGCAAAGAAGGAGAGAAGGAAUAUAUCAACCAUUUAAAAUAUUUCCAUAGAAAAAGCAGGUGGCCCCGGUGGCCUUACUGGCAGGUUCUGCUCACUAGUCCAGAAAGAAAUCCAUGUUACAGAAAGCAAUGAAGGCUUAAUGGUAAAAUUAAUCUGUACACUUUGCCACUUGGCAAUCUAAGGACAGUCUCACUAGAGGCACUAAAUAAAAUGUAAUAUGUUCAUUCAUGUUGUCUAUUAUUAGCAAAUUAUCGCUUAAUUUUUAAAAUCACAUCUAUUUGUGUGUACAUGUAUGUGGAGGUUACAGGUCAUCUCUGGGAGUUAGUUCUUCCCUCCCACCAGGGAUGGGAGACAGGACAUCAGGCAUGGAAGCAAGUGCCUUUAGCUGCUGACCCAUUGCAGUAGCCCAAAUUGUUGGGUAUGGUCUGUCUGUCCAUCUUCUGUCCCUUUCUUCCUCAUCCCUCCUUCCCUCCCUUCCUUCCGUCUUUGACCUGAUAAAGUCUCGCUGUAUAGUCCAGAACUCACUGUGGAGCCCAGGCGAGCAUAGAAUUUGUCAUUCUCUUGCCCAACCUCCUAAAUCCUUAGAUUUUAGGUGUGACUUUUACAUUUUUAUUAUAUAUUAGAAAUCCUAUUUUGUUCUGUCAAUAAAACUUGUUAAUAUGAUAGGUCUCCUUCAAAUAUGGUUUGCAUAUUUAUUUUAUACUCUGAUUUUGAUAGUUCUAGCACCUAAAACUUUUUUUUUUAAACAAGCCAAGCCUGACCUCACUCUGUAAGCCAGGCUGACAUCAAAGUCAUGUCAAUGCUCCUGCCUCAGCCUCCUCAAUACUAGGAUUAUAGGUGUGCACCAUCAUGCUUGGCUGCAAAGCUAUUUUUAAAUUUUAAAUUAAUUUAUCUUCGGGGCCUAGGAGAAGCCAUGGCACACACGUGAAGGUCAGGAGACAACUUUUAGGAGUCAGUUCUUUCCUACCAGUGUGUGAUUCUGGGCAUCAAACUGGAGUCAUCAUCCCACGGUACCCCCCACCCAUGCUAAUUUUGAACAGUUUCACUGCCUCUUCUCCCAUUGACUCUUAAUCAAAGUGCAUUGUGUGCGCACGUCUGUUUGCUUUAUUCACUGAGUUCCUAUGGCUUAGGACUUUAUUGCGAGAAUUCUUGUAGGCCUGGGUUGGAGGUGAACUCUGCCAGAACUCGUGCUGUGUGUCCAGAGACUUACAAUACUGCACAGCUAGAAGUAAAUUCCUGAGUGAUAUGCUCCCUGCAAGAGCCACAGACUAUAAAACACCUCAGUGUCACGCAUGGAAAAUGUCCCUUCAAGUUGUUGGUCAGGGGAGUCUGAGACUCCCAAAACAAUGGAGUUGUCAUUGCCCUUGGUUGCCUGCUCCAGGACUUGAAAGUAAGACCUUAUUACUAAAGAUGCUGCUGCACAUUAUAGACAUGGAAUGUGGAGGAAUCAAGCUGGAACUGACUUCUUCUCCCUGAGGACUGGCUCUCAGAUUUGCUAUGCAAGCUGCCAAGGGAGAGGAGCCCUCAGUAGUCCUACCCAACUGAAAUGCAUGACUCAGAUCAAUGACGGCUCUGGCCAGAGAGCCAUGACAGUGCAGUUGUGGGUCUUCUGUCUUGGGGGUUACCAACAGUUGUCAAAUUAAACUUUAGAGCUCCUCAACAGGAAAGAAUUGACACCAGCCUUUUUAUUUUUAACUACCUGAAUAACAUAAAUUUAGGUGAAAACUUUUAUAGUCUCAGGAGAAACAUUUUUUUUGUCCAAUGUCACUACUAAAGAAUGUACCUUCAGGGAAGCCCUUGGUCCUGCUAAGACUGAACCCCCAGUGAACGUGAUUGUUGGGGGGAGGGUGGCAAUGGGGGGAGGAUGGGGAGGGGAACACCCAUAAAGAAGGGGAGGGGGAGGGAUUAGGGGGAUGUUUGCCCGGAAACCGGGAAAGGGAAUAACACUCGAAAUGUAAAUAAGAAACACUCAAGUUAAUAAAAAAAAAAAAAAAGAAUGUACCUUCAUGCAGGGUGUUUUUCUGCAGGUCACCCUCUUCUUGAUAAUGAGGUUCUUUUAUAUUUUUGUUAUAGUUUUACUCAUUUAUUUAUUUUGAGAGCAUAUGUAUGUACACAUGUGCAUGUCAGAGGACAACUUUCAAGAGUCCAGUUUUUGCCUUGCACAUGUGGGUUCCAAGGGUUGAUCUCAAGUAGUUACAUUAGUGGGCUCCCUUACCAACUGAGCCAUCCUGAUGUCUUAGAUCAUGGAGUUCUUCGGAGUCAGUAUUAGUUCCCUGAGACUGCUGUAACAAAGCACCACUAGCUAGAUGGUCUAACAUGAGGGAACUUUAUCCUCACAGUUCUGGAGCCAAGGAGGCUGAAGUUAGUGCCUCAUUGGAAGUGGAGGUUUGGAGGGGGUAAUCCUGCAGGGGGAUUGUCAGCAGCAUCGACUUCCUCUGUCACCUGACCUCCUUACCUGUCUGCCUCCUCCCCUCUUCUUCCAAGGACACCAGUCACAUUGGAUUUUAACCCUCUGUAAUGGCAUUCAAAAGUUCCGGUGGGUCAGGACUCGAGCAUAUCUUCUGGAGGGACAUAAAGUGAUGCAUGGCAAACCCUAAUCCACAGAGAGAUGCCUACAGCACAUGUGUGCUCUGGGGCCCAUAUCACCUUAUCAGGAAACUGCUCAGAGCAGUAAAUUCUCAGCACACCACCCCCAGAAUACUGAAUGAGAAUACCUGAGGGCCGAGCUCAGGGCUCUGUGUGUUAAUAAACGCAAGAUCCAAACUUCCCACACAUUGCCCUGGUCACAUCUCCUGGACUUGACACACAUCCUAGCCUGUUCUCGCAAGUUCAACACCUUAGAAAGCGCCCCACUUUCCUUUUCUCUUCUAGGGCCUUACAUUGCCUUGGGUCUGGCCUCCGAGGCACCCCUGCAUUCAUAUGCUUGCUUUGCAAAUUGUUUAUACUGAUUACAUCUUCAGAUCUAAAAGGAUCUUCGAAACUCAUAAAAAUAUCAGAAAAACAGUGCAACAGCAGUGCUGUUCCUCUCUGCAUAGAGGAAUUUCCAUUAUUCCCUGCGGAACCAUGUGAAAGUAGCUGCAGACAUGCCUAGUCAGCGUUAGCGUGUCACUCAAGGACAGGACUAUAGCCCUGUGCCAGCGGCAUUUAGGUGUGUUCCUCUCCAGGCUUCUUUAUACUAAAAAAAAAUGGAGGAGAAGUUUCCUUCUUCCCCAAAACUUUUGAUUGUCCAGCUAUGUCUUUCAGGAUUUACCUCAUUAAAGUGAAAACUGAGGCAUGUUGGAGUAUGUAUUUGUGUUUGAAUUUUGGAGACAAGGCAUCGUUUGGCCCAGGCUGCCCUUGAGCCCACUAUGCAGUUAAGGAUGUCUUUUAACUCCUGAAUCCUCCUGCCUCUGUACUUUAUGUGGUGGGAUUACAUGUGUGUACCUCCAAGCUUCCUUUAAAACAUGUUUAUAAACUAAUUUAAAGUAACAAUAAAGGGCAAGUUUGAUGGCUCCACAGUAAAGGCUGCCUACCUGAGUUUUAUCUCAGGGACCCACAUGAUGAAGGGAGGAAGAAACAGCUCCCCAUAGUUGUUCUCUGGCUUCCCACAAGUAACAUGGCAAACACUAGCACACCCAUAACACACACUCAGGUGGAGGGAGAGAGGGAGAGAGAGAAAAUAUAUACAUUUUAAUUUAAAAGAAAAAUCACAUUUACCAGAACACAAAAACUGUUAAGGAGGUCAUUGUACCUUCUUCCGGUCUCUUUCAUAUCAAGGUUGAUUGCCAUGUGAAAUCUGAAACCCUGUUAAUGAAGGUUGAUCUCUGCUUCACUUUAAAUGGGUCUUCUGUCCACACAUGAUAACAUCCUGCUUUGUUCACUUGGAAACUCUGAUAUGUUUUAUUAUUCAGCAUAGAAAGUGAAGUUCAUAAAUGUCACGUUUAAUCUCAUCAGAAAAGUCCUUAAGGGCUGUAGAGAUGGCUCAGUAGUAAGUGUUUACUGAGCAAACACGAGGACCUGAGUUCUCUUCCCAGCAUCCAUGUUGCCUCUUACCACGGUACUGAGGUGGCAGAGGCGACAUUGUCCUUAAGGAUUACUAACCAGCCAAUCUGACUGAAUUUGUCUUAGGAAAUAAGGUAGAGGGGCUGGCAAGAUGUCUUCUCAGGAAAAGGGAGUGGUGACCUGAGUUCAAUCCCUAGAACUCACAUGGUGGACUUUUCAAAGUUGUCAUUGAGUUACCCACCCAUAUACCAGGUGACUAUACACACACACACACACACACACACACACACACACACACACGGACUUUUUCGAUUGGUCCUGGGCAUGUAACUGGAUAAACUACAUCUUCAUCCCCAACCCUAAACAGUUGCUGAUAGAGUAACUGAAGUUGUUUUCUACAGAGUAAGUCAGGGUACCCUGUCAGAUGCUGCAGGAAGUCAUUGUCUCGUUUUUAACUUUUAUGUUUGAGGUUUGAAGAUAGCAUUUUUAUUGUAAAGCAUGAAAUGCUGGCUCAAAGAUGUGUGAGACAACAAUGGCUUCUGGGUAGUCUUGAUCCAAUAGCUCAUCACUGGUACCAAAUUAACAGAUUCUCUGCUCUCUCCUCUUCAGCCCUUGGUGGCUCCUGUAUCAAUAUGGAAUGACUCAUGGCAGCCAAUGGGCUUUGGAUUCGUCUAUAUCUCGAGGAGGUCUGAGAGUCUCCCUAUAGAAGGCCCCUAGAAAGCAUCCUUUAGUUCUCUCACCAGUCUGUCCUUCUACCAUCCCUACGGCAGAGACAUGGGAUAUGCCAAGUGACUUAAAGCAACCAGGACCCACCAAACAUCUGACAAUAUGGUCAGCUUCUCUAAGCACAGGGGCUACAGGAGUUGAGGGGACAGGGUAGAGGAGGAGAGAAUCUUGUGGGCCUCUUUCCAAAGGAAAAACCAACCGAAUAGUGGGCGAUGGAACCUGCAAACACCUACAAAGGAAUCCAUCAGUAUCCACAAUACUAUAGUACACUUCUCUGUGCUAGCAAGAUGGCUCUUUGACUAGAGACACUUACUGCCAAGCUUGGUGACCUGAGUUUGAUCCUUGGGACUCACAUAGUGGAAGGAGAGAACUGACUUCCACAAGUCAUCCUCUGACAUGUGUGCUGUGACACUCAUGUACCCACUCUACCACAACUUUAUGAGUCCCUACAGUGCAGUAGAUACUGUGUCACACUGCUUUCACACUGCAGCAACUGCACAUAGCUUCAUAAGCCACCACUGUGAGCGAGCAGAGGUGACAGGGAGCCAUCUGCAGUCACUGGUGUCAUGGCAUUUCCUAUAUAAAGCCCUAUAGUUUCAUACAAGGUCAGCAUGACAGUGUCUUUCUCAAAUGAUGUACCAAGAGUUUCAUAACCUUCCUCAGUCCAUGGUGACAGUCAAAUGCAGCCAAGUCAUGAUGGGGUCAGUAGCACCAUCUGGCCCAGGACUGAGUAGAACUCUUGAUUAUAGAUUCAGGUCCCUCCUGAACUGUGACACGCUGUGCACAGAACUGUGCUUCUCAGAGCCCCCACAGGUCACCAUGGAACUGUACCUCCUGCUGGGCAAGGCCUCACUCAUUCCAAUGUCCCCAAAAGUGACCACUGCUCAGAGCUAAGCAGACCUUCUCAGAUUCUCUUCAGCAUCUUAGGGAACCUUGGGGCCUUUGAUGUUUAUGGUUGUGAGAUUCAGCGCCAUGGAUUCCCUGGUUUGAGAGAAAAACAACAUAGACACUUCAUGGACUUGCAGGGUUGUAGGCUGGAUCCACUGCCAACACUUAAGGCCGAGAAGUACAACACCAGAAAUACAAAUUGGAACAAUAAGCAGCUCUGGGUUGGGGAUGUAGCUAGGAGAGUUGAGUACUUCUUUAGAACGUGCAAACG